GAGUACUUGUUGUGCUAUGCUGUGCAAGGAUCUUGUCGAGCGAAUAGCAAAAAAAGAAAGUAAAAAGGAAAAAGAUAGUGAAUAUCGGGCAGGAGUUGAAUUCCCGUCAAUAACAUGUUGGAUAGAACGAGGAGAUAUUAAAUAUUCAGGAGUUACGUAGCACGAACGGAAGAGAGAGGGGAGAACGAAAAAGUAUACCUGUUGCGCCGCCGUGAGGCUGUUCUUGCUAAGGAAACGGCAAAAACAAAUCAGCGUAUAACGAUGGAAUUUCAAUUUACGCAUAAUGAUAGUACGACCUGUUUGAAAAUACACGAAGAUAUAAAAAGAAACGCUUAUUGUGCGCUGCCGCAAAAAAGAAUUGCACGGAGUGAAGAUAGCAGCGAGCGCGGAGCGCUCAAGUCGGAUGUGUGCGUGUAUAUGUGUUUCAUAUCGCGAUACAUCGAUCUAAUCGAAGAAAAAACGCUCGACUUGUUUUCUCAGGACGAACCUUGAACUGCCGGCGUAUUAUCGAAACCGCUGUAUAACCCGCAUGAACCGUUUGCCGUUUGCGAAAAUGCAGCUCGAAUUGGAAUCGAGAGACUUGGCUGAGAAACUUGGGGAAAGGAGCAUCGAGUAUUUGCCUGCUUAUACCUGCCUGAAGUGAGGAGAUGGAAAAUGGAGACAGGCCGAACGAGUAGGAGCGAAAUAGUGUAUGUGUGUGUGUGUGUGUGUGUGUGUAUGUGUGUGAGAGAGAGAGGAGGAGAAGGAAAGAGACAAGAAGAGAGAUAGAGAAAGGAAGAAUGGCAGGAAGACGCGAGAUAUCGGCGAGAGAUAAGCGCAAAACGUAACGUGAAGUACACGAUGUACGAUUUCAUCACACACACACACACACACACACACAUACACGCACUCACACACGGACAAUGACACGACCGAUAUACCUGGGGCCGCGAUCGUCAGUUGGGAGCGAGAUGCGGCGAGAGUGACGGAAAUCCCGGCCGAGCCAGAUUAGAGCGGCGAAGGGAAAGGCAGGUCAAAGUGGAGGGUCUGCGCCAGGUGCGCAGACCCUCCACCACUCGCAUCGCUCCCGGUUGAGGCCGCUUGUCGGUGCCAUUGCGUUUACCUGGAGGGAUCCGGAGCAGCUCGGAAGAGCCUGUGUAAGAGGUACAUCGCACCGUUGCCGAGCCUCGACACCGACACAUUCGUCGCCAAUGCACAUGGCGGGCUCCGCCGAAUACGCGCGCUCAAUGGAACAUGCGCGCGCGAGAAGUAUUCUCUACGUCUCGACGCCGUCUAUCGUCGCUACGCGCGGAUGAUACGCGAGCGCCGCUCACGAUGGCGCCGUCGUGCUCCUCCCUCCGCCGAUAUCCGUCGGAACGCACGACGGUAACGCGGAAGAAGCUAGCUGCAUUUGGAGAACACGAGCGAUCGGCUUUUGAGGGACGGCUGUCAUUGGUAGGUCCGAAAGUAAGCACCAAUCGUAGAUAGGUAAUUCCUACGGAACGGCGUGGUAUUUUCCGAACGCAAUCGUUGCUUCCUUCGGCGAGAGAGCGAGAGAGCGAAAGAGCGAGCGCCGCGGAAAUCGCCGAUUCGACGUUGAGCGGUCCGAUGAACGGUGAAAAUGGCGCGCGACCGCUCUCCAAGUGCUAUAGUGUGCACGUAUCGGCGACACGUGCAACGUAGCAACGAUGUCGAUGUCCUCGAUACCGUCGCGCCGGCUCCCUUCGCGUAAUCGCGAUCACGCGGCCUUGCCGCACGGACGGGCGGUUCCGUUCGACGUCCGUUCUUGUUGUCGCUUUUCUCUCGGGCGGAGUGUUCGCUGCUCGAGACGCGCGCCGCUGGCCGCAGCGCGGCGCGGAAGGGUGGCGCUCACACGUGCCGCACUCGAGCCGUGUGUCGGAGAACGCUGGACGCUCGACGGGAAAUAUCUCACGGACGUAAUCAUCGUCGGCAGCGGAGCAGAGAGGGAGAGGACGAGGAAGCGUCGCGCGGAAAUGACGAAUUGAUACUUUCCAUCGCGCUCGGACGAAGUAGACGUGCUCGCGAGGGAACGCGAGGGUACUGUGUCGAAAACGUCGUCGUAAUUAUGGGAGAAAGUGCGGAAAAUGUCGACGAAAGCGGCGCAACACGAUGAUAUAUCGCAGCGCAAAUCGCGUAAAUUGAUUCCGUUCGGUUCCUCUUGUCGAUUUUUGCGCGCGUCGGAUCGCCGAUUGUAACGCCGCACUUGCCACUCGUCGCGAGUGCUGGGAGCGAGAAGGAGAGGGAAGGAGAGAAAGAGACGGACGAGACGCGAAUAUAGCUGCUCUCAGGCAGCAGAUUCGGGUAGGAUACGCGGAAUAUCUGCCGCGGGAGCAGAGCGCUUAGUUGUAGGUAAGAUCAACGGGUGUCGCGCCGACGCAGCGUCCGGAUUGGCCGGCCACCUGUUGCCUGCCGGCCGCGAUUGGUCAGAAGCGGCGGCGCGCAUCAGCCGCCCAGGGGAAGGAAGGCGCACGCAAGUGCAUCUCGUCGUUCUCUCGCGCCGGCGCGCUCACGGCUCCACGAUGAUGAACCGGGCUCCGCGAUGACGGCCGGGAACUGUUACGUCGCCGGAGAAGCGUCUUCGCGCGAAAUAUUAGCCGUGUCGCCGCGAGAGAGGGAAUCGAGCGGGCGAGAGUGCCGAUCGAUCGGCGAGAAUAAUCUCAGCGUGACUCCGCUCUUCAGGGUUGUGAAGACGCGCGGAAAUGGCGGACUACGGAGAUGACGCUUCGCGAUGAUAGCAUAAGUCUGGAGCUCGCAAGGCCUUCGGAGAGAGACAAGAGAGAGAAAGAGAGAGAGGAGAAAAUAGCGAUUUACAUGAGAAAGAGAGCGACGAAACAUUUGCUUCGGGAUGUCCUUUUCGGGAAUUUGACUCGACGAGAUCACGCGCUCUUUCAAUGCCGAGCGAAUCGAGAAAGAGAAGAAGAGAGGACGUUUCGACGAACACACGCGAAACGUAUCAUUGGGACUCGUUGCUUUCAGAAUCAAAAUCCGAAGAAGAGGACCGUUAAGAUGAUGAAAUUUUCAUCGGCAACACCGCGCGAGGGCAGUCCACAAUUAGACUCGAGGUUUGUCGAGGAGAGAUUAUCAAAGGGAUUCCUCGCGAUUCCGGCGACGAGGUCGAUCCACUUUGGAUUCUCUUGGCCGCGCGCCGCACGGUACGCCGUAACAGUUGGAUCCUAAUAACCGCACCGCGAGGGUGGCGAUUCACGAGGAGGAAGUCCAAGGAGUCGGCUCGCGCACGCAAAGCGCGGUUUCACGGAUAUCGCGCGCGUUCGAGCGAGUAGCAACGCGGCGCCGCGCAAGGAAGCGGCUCUCGAUGAAGACGGAAGAGAGAAGAGGUGUGCGAUCAGCUGAACCAGUACCUCAGCACGCACAGAUUCUUCGGCUCUUUCAUCUUCAGCAAUAUAUUACACACUUUUCUCACCCUCUAAGAGCAAAAGAUGCAACCUAAUUCGGUGAUGAAGAGUCGAUUUAUUAUCAAAUGCAACCUAUAAGUUUAUCUCAAUUUUACCGAAAGUUUUCGGUUCGGUGUAUAAUCGAGAUGUAAAUGGAGCAUCCUUGACAUUUCAAUAUUUCAAGCACGCGUCCAAAUGCGAAAUACUUUUUUGGAGUUGUGCGUCAUAUUAUUUCUUAUAUUAGCAUUUAGAACUGUUGCAUAAUAGGUACUGCUAUAAAUCUAUGUAAAUAUUGUUGAAUUGUAAAAUAGGAAUAAUUUCAAGGUUUUCAAUAAAUUCAGACGUUAUUUAUUUUGA
rnacentral:lncRNA from 1 species